CUUGCCAAGACUCCAAAUAAGAGUUUAAGAACUUUCCAACAAUCACCUCACAGGAAGAAGAUCAUCCAUGUGAGGAGGAAGUUCUUUUUCCUCAUCUCCCUGUUCACUAUUUCCUGCAAGGUAAUAAAUGGACAAUCAGAAACUAAGUACUACUGGACCA